GGGUCAGUAGGUUGGUCGUGCCACCGGUACGUACUGGUCUCACUGAUUCCUCCUUCCUGAAGAACCGUAAUGCCAUUAAUUUGGUGUUGCGGGGAAACAGGACUCUUACUUUGAAAAAAUUAGAGUGUUUAAAGCAAGCUAACGCUUGAAUACAUUAGCAUGGAAUAAUGAAAUAGGACGAUCGAUCCUAUUUUGUUGGUUUCUAGGAUUGACGUA
rnacentral:rRNA from 1 species